rnacentral:pre_miRNA from 1 species
ACGUGUUGAGUUGGCGUUGUUUUUAGGGGAUACGCAGAAAGACGUGUCUAGCUCAGCGUUUUUUUUUUCCUGUUGUUAAGUAAAAUACACUAACAUGGAAGCGCUUUUCAAAAAAGUGUCCACAUAGGUGUGCUUUUAUCCGUGUUUUCCCAAUUAUGGUUUUGUUUUAAUUUUUAACUAUUUACGGUUAGGGCUUUUUAUGUGAAUAAGUUUAGGAUUUAGGGUUUAUUUUUUCAGGAUUUAGGCAAAAGCGUGCCCAUGUGGACGCGCUUACACAUCAGUGCGUUUUACCUAACAACAGGGAAAAAAGUGCUGAGCUAGACGUGCUUAUCUGUGUAUCUCCUGAAAACGACGACAGCUCGGCGUG